UAAGAGGUCCCGCCUGCCCUGUGACUGUAAGUUUAACGGCCGCGGUAUUUUGACCGUGCGAAGGUAGCGCAAUCACUUGUCUUUUAAAUGGAGACCUGUAUGAAUGGCACAACGAGGGCUUAACUGUCUCCUCUUUCAAGUCAAUGAAAUUGAUCUUCCCGUGCAGAAGCGGGAAUAAGUACAUAAGACGAGAAGACCCUAUGGAGCUUUAGACACAAGAUAGAUCAUGUUAAACACCCCUAAGUAAAGGGCUAAACCCGAUGAACACUAUCCCCAUGUCUUUGGUUGGGGCGACCGCGGGGAAACGAAAAACCCCCACGUGGAAAGGGGACACCUCCCUUACAACCUAGAGCUGCAGCUCUAAUGAACAGAAAUUCUGACCAGCUAGAUCCGGCAAAGCCGAUCGACGGACCGAGUUACCCUAGGGAUAACAGCGCAAUCCCCUUUUAGAGCCCAUAUCGACAAGGGGGUUUACGACCUCGAUGUUGGAUCAGGACAUCCUAAUGGUGCAGCCGCUAUUAAGGGUUCGUUUGUUCAACG
rnacentral:rRNA from 1 species